UGGGGAAUCUUGCGCAAUGGCCGAAAGGCUGACGCAGCGACGCCGCGUGUGGGAGGAAGCUCUUCGGGGUGUAAACCACUGUUGCCCGGGACGAACACACCUAUUCGUGGGUGCUGACGGUACCGGGUGAGGAAGCACCGGCUAACUCUGUGCCAGCAGCCGCGGUAAUACAGAGGGUGCGAGCGUUGUCCGGAAUCACUGGGCGUAAAGGGCGCGUAGGCGGCGCGGUAAGCGUGCGGUGAAAGCCCGGGGCUCAACCCCGGGUCGGCCGUGCGGACUGCCGGGCUGGAGCACUGUAGAGGCAGGUGGAAUUCCGGGUGUAGCGGUGGAAUGCGUAGAGAUCCGGAAGAACACCGGUGGCGAAGGCGGCCUGCUGGGCAGUAGCUGACGCUGAAGCGCGACAGCGUGGGGAGCAAAC
rnacentral:rRNA from 1 species